GCGGGUGUAGUUCAAUGGUAGAACUCCAGCCUUCCAAGCUGUUCCAUCGGGAGUGAGCUGCGAAACCCGCG
rnacentral:tRNA from 1 species